GACGAACGCUGGCGGCGUGCUUAACACAUGCAAGUCGAACGGAAAGGCCCUGCUUUUGUGGGGUGCUCGAGUGGCGAACGGGUGAGUAACACGUGAGUAACCUGCCCUUGACUUUGGGAUAACUUCAGGAAACUGGGGCUAAUACCGGAUAGGAGCUCCUGCUGCAUGGUGGGGGUUGGAAAGUUUCGGCGGUUGGGGAUGGACUCGCGGCUUAUCAGCUUGUUGGUGGGGUAGUGGCUUACCAAGGCUUUGACGGGUAGCCGGCCUGAGAGGGUGACCGGCCAGGUGGGGCUGGAGUUCCGGCCAGCCCUCCACGGGGGGGCAGCGGGGGGAAAUAUAGCACAGUGGGGGGAGGCCAGAUGCAGCACCCCCGGGUGGGGGAGGACGGCCUUGGGUUUGAAACCCGUUUUGCCCGGAGAGAAGGAGUGGGUGACGGAAAUGGAUAAAGAAGCCCCGGCUAACUACGGG
rnacentral:rRNA from 1 species